AAAAAGACAAACCCUGGUUUCCGUGCCCAAUGUUUGACCGUCCGUCUUAUUUGAAAAAAUUAUGAAAAAAAUUAAAAAGACAAGUCACGCACAAAGUAUUAAUCAUGUUUUAUCAUCUAACAACAAUAAAAAUACGAAUUAUAAAAAAAUUUCAUAUAAGACGGACAGUCAAAGUUGGACACGCAAACCUAGGGUUUGCCUUUUU
rnacentral:pre_miRNA from 1 species